rnacentral:rRNA from 1 species
CCCCUAGAUGUUCUGGGCCGCACGCGCGCUACACUGAACAGUUCAACAAGUCUUAACCUUGGCCGAUAGGUCUGGGUAAUCUUUGAACGCUGUUCGUGAUUGGGAUAGACCUUUGCAAUUAUGGGUCUUCAACGAGGAAUUCCUAGUGAACGCAAGUCAUCAGCUUGCAUUGAUUACGUCCCUGCCCUUUGUACACACCGCCCGUCGCACCUACCGAUUGAAUGGUCCGGUGAAAUCUCGGGACGGCGGCUUGGUCGCUUGCGUCCGACUGCUGAAACUUGAUUAAACCAUNUNAUUUAGNGGAAGGUGAANUCGUANCA